CAGCCGCGUCACUUCUCUUCCAUGGUUGCAAAAGGAUAGCAUUGCAAUCUCGUCCCUUAACGGUUCUGUUUUACGAUUAUUAUUUUCAUUGAUGAUUUUUUACUUUCUUAGGUAUAAGAUUGUUGUCGCAUGAGGGUCUGGAGUUUGGCUCUUUGGCUUUUUAAUCCGUGCCAUAGAGAUGAAUGCAGCACCCAAUACUGAGUUCUUUCAACCUUUUCACUAAUAUUCGCUUCUAUGUUUGUUUAAUCAGUAUGCGGAUCUUUUCGCUGAGGUUGAUACAUUUUUAAUUUCGUCUGUGAUGAUUUUUGAUCAAAUUUCUUGCCCUUUGUUAUUUAUUACCAUCUUUUUAUUAAGAAAUUGUGAAAUUGAUGAUUCCGGGGAAUCUGAAAUUGUGGUUAUUGAGUGGUAAUUCAGGCAGCCUACUUGCCACGAUAACAAAUGGCAUGAGAGGUGUUAAACUGCUCGUAUAUAAAAUGCUUUUGCUCUUCAGACUUGCUGAAAUUAUUUUGAAGCUGGUCUAGUAAGCUUACGUACA